rnacentral:rRNA from 1 species
UACGAAGGGGGCUAGCGUUGCUCGGAAUCACUGGGCGUAAAGGGUGCGUAGGCGGGUCUUUAAGUCAGGGGGGAAAUCCUGGAGCUCAACUCCAGAACUGCCUUUGAUACUGAAGAUCUUGAGUUCGGGAGAGGUGAGUGGAACUGCGAGUGUAGAGGUGAAAUUCGUAGAUAUUCGCAAGAACACCAGUGGCGAAGGCGGCCAACUGGUCCGGUACUGACGCUGAGGUGCGAAAGCGUGGGGAGCAAACAGG